GACGAACGCUGGCGGCGUGCUUAACACAUGCAAGUCGAACGGGCCUGUCUUCUUUUUUGGGGGUGGGUUGAGUGGCGAACGGGUGAGUAUCACGUGAGUAACCUGCCCUUCGGUCCUGGAUAACCGCUUGAAAGGGCGGCUAAUACGGGGUGGUCCGGUUGGUCCGCAUGGGCUGGUCGGGAUAGAUUCACUGUUUUUGGUGUUUCGGCGGGGGAUGGGCUCGCGGCCUAUCAGCUUGUUGGUGGGGUGAUGGCCUACCAAGGCGGUGACGGGUAGCCGGGCGGGGGGGGUGGGCGGCCAAGCUGGGACUGAGGUACGGCCCAGACUCCUGCGGGAGGCAGCAGUGGGGGGUAUUGCACAAUGGGCGGAAGCCUGAUGCAGCGACGUCGCGUGAGGGAGGGAGGCCUUCGGGUUGUGAACCUCUGUUUCCGGUGGUGAAGGCCCUGUCCGUGUGGUGGGGUUGACGGUAGCCGGGGAUGAAGCGCCGGCUAACUACGUG
rnacentral:rRNA from 1 species